rnacentral:rRNA from 1 species
CCUACGGGUGGCAGCAGUGGGGAAUAUUGCACAAUGGGGGAAACCCUGAUGCAGCGACGCCGCGUGAGUGAAGAAGUAUUUCGGUAUGUAAAGCACUAUCAGCAGGGAAGAAAAUGACGGUACCUGAGUAAGAAGCUCCGGCUAAAUACGUGCCAGCAGCCGCGGUAAUACGUAUGGAGCAAGCGUUAACCGGAUUUACUGGGCGAAAAGGGAGCGUAGACGGCCGGCCAAGUCUGAUGUGAAAUACCGGGGCUCAACCCCGGGGCUGCAUCGGAUACUGGAAGGCUGGAGUGCCGUAGAGGCAGGCGGAAUUCCUGGUGUAGCGGUGAAAUGCGUAGAUAUGAGGAGGAACACCAGUGGCGAAGGCGGCCUGCUGGACGGUGACUGACGCUGAGGCUCGAAAGCGUGGGGAGCAAACAGGAUUAGAUACCCCUGUAGUC